CCUACGGGUGACAGCAGUGAGGAAUAUUGGUCAAUGGACGAGAGUCUGAACCAGCCAAGUAGCGUGAAGGAUGACUGCCCUAUGGGUUGUAAACUUCUUUUAUAUGGGAAUAAAAUGUUCCACGUGUGGGAUUUUGUAUGUACCAUAUGAAUAAGGAUCGGCUAACUCCGUGCCAGCAGCCGCGGUAAUACGGAGGGUCCGAGCGUUAUCCGGAUUUAUUGGGUUUAAAGGGAGCGUAGGUGGAUUGUUAAGUCAGUUGUGAAAGUUUGCGGCUCAACCGUAAAAUUGCAGUUGAAACUGGCAGUCUUGAGUACAGUAGAGGUGGGCGGAAUUCGGGGUGUAGCGGUGAAAUGCUUAGAUAUCACGAAGAACUCCGAUUGCGAAGGCAGUUCACUGGACUGAAACUGACACUGAGGCUCGAAAGUGUGGGUAUCAAACAGGAUUAGAUACCCCAGUAGUC
rnacentral:rRNA from 1 species